rnacentral:rRNA from 1 species
GACGAACGCUGGCGGCGUGCUUAACACAUGCAAGUCGAACGGAAAGGCCCUGCUCUUGCGGGGUGCUCGAGUGGCGAACAGGUGAGUAACACGUGAGUAACCUGCCCCUGACUUUGGGAUAACUUCAGGAAACUGGGGCUAAUACCGGAUAGGAGAUCCUGCUGCAUGGUGGGGGUUGGAAAGUUUCGGCGGUUCGGGAUGGUCUCGAGGCUUAUCAGCUUGUUGGUGGGGUAGGGGAUUUCCAAGCCUUUGACGGGUAGCCGGCCUGAGAGGUUGACCGGCCACAUAGGUACUGCGAGACGGACCAGAAGCGUACGGGAGGCAGUAGUGGGGAAUUUGACACAACGGGCGGAAGUCUGAUGCAGCAACGCCGCGUGCGUGAUGACGGCCUUCGGGUUGUAAACCGCUUUGGCCGGUGACGAAGCGGGAGUGACGGUAAUGGGUAAAGAAGCACCGGCUAACUACGUG